AGCGAACGCUGGCGGCAGGCCUAACACAUGCAAGUCGAACGAAGUCUUCGGACUUAGUGGCGGACGGGUGAGUAACACGUGGGAACGUACCUUUUGGUUCGGAACAACUCAGGGAAACUUGGGCUAAUACCGGAUGAGCCCUUAGGGGGAAAGAUUUAUCGCCGAAAGAGCGGCCCGCGUUAGAGUAGCUAGUUGGUGAGGUAAAGGCUCACCAAGGCUACGAUCUAUAGCUGGUCUGAGAGGAUGAUCAGCCACACUGGGACUGGGACACGGCCCAGACUCCUACGGGAGGCAGCAGUGGGGAAUCUUGCGCAAUGGGCGAAAGCCUGACGCAGCCAUGCCGCGUGAAUGAUGAAGGUCUUAGGAGUGUAAAAUUCUUUUACCAGGGACGAUGAUGACGGUACCUGGAGAAAAAGCCCCGGCUAACUUCGUGCCAGCCGCCGCCGUAA
rnacentral:rRNA from 1 species